rnacentral:rRNA from 1 species
AUUGAACGCUGGCGGCAGGCCUAACACAUGCAAGUCGAACGGUAACAGGAAGAAGCUUGCUUCUUUGCUGACGAGUGGCGGACGGGUGAGUAAUGUCUGGGAAACUGCCUGAUGGAGGGGGAUAACUACUGGAAACGGUAGCUAAUACCGCAUAACGCCGCAAAACCAAAGAGGGGGACCUUCGGGCCUCUUGCCAUCGGAUGUGCCCAGAUGGGAUUAGCUAGUAGGUGGGGUAACGGCUCACCUAGGCGACGAUCCCUAGCUGGUCUGAGAGGAUGACCAGCCACACUGGAACUGAGACACGGUCCAGACUCCUACGGGAGGCAGCAGUGGGGAAUAUUGCACAAUGGGCGCAAGCCUGAUGCAGCCAUGCCGCGUGUAUGAAGAAGGCCUUCGGGUUGUAAAGUACUUUCAGCGGGGAGGAAGGGAGUAAAGUUAAUACCUUUGCUAAUUGACGUUACCCGCAGAAGAAGCACCGGCUAACUCCGUG